rnacentral:rRNA from 1 species
GAGUUUGAUCCUGGCUCAGAUUGAACGCUGGCGGCAUGCCUAACACAUGCAAGUCGAACGGGAGUAGCAAUACUCUAGUGGCGGACGGGUGAGGAAUACGUAGGAAUUUGCCCUUAAGUGGGGGAUAACCCGGGGAAACCCGGAUUAAUACCGCAUGAUCUCGAAAGAGCAAAGUGGGGGAUCGCAAGACCUCACGCUUUUGGAGAAGCCUACGUCGGAUUAGCUAGUUGGUGAGGUAAUGGCUCACCAAGGCGACGAUCCGUAACUGGUCUGAGAGGAUGAUCAGUCACACCGGAACUGAGACACGGUCCGGACUCCUACGGGAGGCAGCAGUGGGGAAUAUUGGACAAUGGGCGAAAGCCUGAUCCAGCAAUGCCGCGUGUGUGAAGAAGGCCUUCGGGUUGUAAAGCACUUUAAGUUGGGAAGAAAAAAUUCCACCUAAUACGUGGAGUCUUGACGGUACCGACAGAAUAAGCACCGGCUAACUCUGUGCCAGCAGCCGCGGUAAUACG